rnacentral:lncRNA from 1 species
AUAUUAUUUGUCUUAUGGUCUCAUUUGUUAUGAGCUCUUGGUUGUCACCAACAAACAUUUACUGAGCACCUGUUGGGUGCAGGGCAUUGUGUUACAGACUGUGGAUAUAAAUUGAAAUGGGAAAUUUUCUAUGCUUUAAAGAGGCUAACAAUUGAUUUCAUGAGACAGGAAACACAUAUAAAAUAAUUAUAGUACCAUAUGGCAAACAAUGGCAAGUGGUGGAUAAAACAUAGUCAGAAAAUGACAUGGAAGUUGAGAGAAAUGUCACUUUUGUGAAGCUUUGUGGUCUUACACAACUUGCUUAAUUCUUCCUAGCUUCAGUUUUCUUACCUGCAAAGUGGGUGUGCUGUGAGAAUUAUAUCAGAAAAUACAUAUAAAUCACUUAGUGCCUGACACAGAGACCAUUGAAUAAAUGGAAAUAGUUAUUAAUAUUUUCUUCUCUUCUUUCCUUCCUCUGGUUUUUUCCCUCUUCUUACUUAUCUUUCCUGAAGUCUCAGACUAAAUAAUAGAAAGGACUCAGCCUUUAAGGAAAGUACAGAGAAGUUAGAAACUCAUGGGGAAGAAGUUUUUGACAUGGGGAAGUGAAAUCAUGUGUGCUCCCUUCUCCCCUGCCUCCAGCUCCAUCUGCUUUUUCUACGUCCUAAGUGAGGCUCUGCUCUUGAAUCCUUCACUCCUUUCUUCUCCUGGCAAUAUGGACAUGAUCCCCCUCCAAGUCUGAGGAUAACCUACACCAUAUUCCAAAGUGUGAGAUAAGUAGAAUUUCUCUUUAGGGCUCCAUUCCCCGAAAGAGCAUCUUAGAAGGGAUAUCUUUCCUUUCCUUCCCCUAAACUCAUUAAUUGUAGAAUUUUAUUCCCUAAUGCCAUGUGUCACUAAAUGGCAGAAGAAGGUCAGUACUUGGCUGGCAGGGGUGUUUGUUUGUUUUUUGGCAUGAACAGUGUUUUUUUUUUUCUCUCUCUCUCUCUCUUUUACUUUCCUUGCUUACUUGCUAUUUUUAUUUUUUCAGCUGAACCCACAUCUAAAAAAGAAUUCUUUGCAGUAUCAAGGAAAGAACAAAUAAGCAAUCAAACAAAUGAAUACAUUGGAAGUCACAGCAUCACAUUUAAUGCUAAAAAGAGAAAAGUAGAAUAUGUUGUUUGUUUUUGCAAACAUGAAUAGAGCAUCAUCAGGUGGCAGAGUGAGCAGCGGAAGCAUGUUGGGCCCAUGAAUAGAGCAUCAUGGAAACAGUCAAUUCUUUGUCCUGUCUUCCAUAAUCCCCCCCCCCCCCCCCCGAGGUUUCGCUGAAGACUGAAAAGACUGAAAAGCAUGGCUUUUCUUAAGUUUUCUUCCAGUUUUCUCCUUAGUCCCAGCCCUCUCAUGUUGUACAUAGUUUCCAAAAAGAACAACAUACAAUAUUAAACUCAAAUCUUGUGGUUGCUAAAAGAUUAUCAAUCAAUUAAUUCACAAAUCCCAGAAUUUACAUAUGAGAUAAUCAUUACAAAGAUGGACUCACCUUAUAAGGUAAGGUACCCAUUUCAAACACCUUUAUAUUUAGAAAGCAGAACUAUAUGACUCCAUAGGAUAGAUUCAUUUCAACAAUAAAUAUUUCAUGAAUAAAAAUAAAUGACA